rnacentral:rRNA from 1 species
GAUGAACGCUAGCGGCAGGCCUAACACAUGCAAGUCGAGGGAGGAGCCUUCGGGCUUCGACCGGCGUACGGGUGCGUAACGCGUAUACAAUCUGCCUUUCACAUAGGGAUAGCCCGAAGAAAUUUGGAUUAAUACCUAAUGGUAUAUAGAUGUGGCAUCAGCUUUAUAUUAAAGCUGAGGCGGUGAAAGAUGAGUAUGCGUUCUAUUAGCUAGUUGGAGAGGUAACGGCUCCCCAAGGCGACGAUAGAUAGGGGUUCUGAGAGGGAUAUCCCCCACACUGGUACUGAGAUACGGACCAGACUCCUACGGGAGGCAGCAGUGAGGAAUAUUGGACAAUGGUCGGAAGACUGAUCCAGCCAUGCCGCGUGCAGGAAGACGGCCUUAUGGGUUGUAAACUGCUUUUGCAGGGGAAGAAUAAGGACUACGCGUAGUUUGAUGACGGUACUCUGCGAAUAAGCAUCGGCUAACUCCGUG